rnacentral:rRNA from 1 species
AACGAACGCUGGCGGCAUGCCUAACACAUGCAAGUCGAACGAGACCUUCGGGUCUAGUGGCGCACGGGUGCGUAACGCGUGGGAACCUGCCCUUAGGUUCGGAAUAACUCCCCGAAAGGGGUGCUAAUACCGGAUAAUGUCUUCGGACCAAAGAUUUAUCGCCUUUGGAUGGGCCCGCGUUGGAUUAGCUAGUUGGUAGGGUAAAAGCCUACCAAGGCGACGAUCCAUAGCUGGUCUGAGAGGAUGAUCAGCCACACUGGGACUGAGACACGGCCCAGACUCCUACGGGAGGCAGCAGUGGGGAAUAUUGGACAAUGGGCGAAAGCCUGAUCCAGCCAUGCCGCGUGAGUGAUGAAGGCCUUAGGGUUGUAAAGCUCUUUUACCCGGGAUGAUAAUGACAGUACCGGGAGAAUAAGCUCCGGCUAACUCCGU